rnacentral:rRNA from 1 species
ACGCGUAAGAACUUGCCUCUUAGUCCGGGACAACAUCUGGAAACGGAUGCUAAUACCGGAUAUUAUGGUUUUUUCGCAUGGAGGAAUCAUGAAAGCUAGAUGCGCUAAGAGAGAGCUUUGCGUCCCAUUAGCUCGUUGGUGAGGUAACGGCCCACCAAGGCAAUGAUGGGUAGCCGGCCUGAGAGGGUGAACGGCCACAAGGGGACUGAGACACGGCCCUUACUCCUACGGGAGGCAGCAGUGGGGAAUAUUGGACAAUGGACCACAAGUCUGAUCCAGCAAUUCUGUGUGCACGAUGACGUUUUUCGGAAUGUAAAGUGCUUUCAGUCGGGAAGAAGUCAGUGACGGUACCGACAGAAGAAGCGACGGCUAAAUACGUGCCAGCAGCCGCGGUAAUACGUAUGUCGCAAGCGUUAUCCGGAUUUAUUGGGCGUAAAGCGCGUCUAGGCGGCAAGGAAAGUCUGAUGUGAAAAUGCGGAGCUCAACUCCGUAUGGCGUUGGAGACUGCCUUACUAGAGUACUGGAGAGGUAGGCGGAACUACAAGUGUAGAGGUGAAAUUCGUAGAUAUUUGUAGGAAUGCCGAUGGGGAAGCCAGCCUACUGGACAGAUACUGACGCUAAAGCGCGAAAGCGUGGGUAGCAAACAGGAUUAGAUACCCUGGUAGUCCACGCUGUAAACGAUGAUUACUAGGUGUUGGGGGUCAAACCUCAGCGCCCAAGCUAACGCGAUAAGUAAUCCGCCUGGGGAGUACGUACGCCAGUAUG